GCUCCGAUGGCUCAGUGGCAGAGCGAGCGGGCGACAACCGCGAGGUCACCGGACGUCGAGACCGGAUCGGAGCA